GCGAGAAACCUUUGCAAUGUGCGCAAGCACGACAAGGUUAAUCCGAGUGUUUCCUGCUAAAGGAAUCUUUUGUUAGUUCUAAAACCACUGAUGAAUAAGAGGUGGGCAAGUUCUGGUGUCAGCCGCCGCGGUAAAACCAGCACCUCAAGUGGUCAGGAGGAUUAUUGGGCCUAAAGCAUCCGUAGCCGGUUCUGUAAGUUUUCGGUUAAAUCCACUAGCUUAACUAAUGGGCUGCCGAAAAUACUGCAGAACUAGGGAGUGGGAGAGGUAGACGGUACUCGGUAGGAAGGGGUAAAAUCCUUUGAUCUAUUGAUGACCACCUGUGGCGAAGGCGGUCUACCAGAACACGUUCGACGGUGAGGGAUGAAAGCUGGGGGAGCAAACCGGAUUAGAUACCCUAGUAGUCCCUGAGCGGGCUGGCAAGGCGCAU
rnacentral:rRNA from 1 species